rnacentral:rRNA from 1 species
GACGAACGCUGGCGGCGUGCUUAACACAUGCAAGUCGAACGGUGAAGCGCCUUCCUUUUUGGUGGGUGUGGAUGAGUGGCGAACGGGUGAGUAACACGUGAGUAACCUGCCCCCUUCUUCUGGAUAACCGCAUGAAAGUGUGGCUAAUACGGGAUAUUCUGGGUCUGUCGCAUGAUGGGUCUGGGAAAGAUAUUGUUUCGGUGGGGGAUGGGCUCGCGGCCUAUCAGCUUGUUGGUGGGGUGAUGGCCUACCAAGGCGGUGACGGGUAGCCGGCCUGAGAGGUGGACGGUCACACUGUGACUGAGACACGGCCCAGACUCCUACGGGAGGCAGCAGUGGGGAAUAUUGCACAAUGGGCGCAAGCCUGAUGCAGCGACGCCGCGUGAGGGAUGGAGGCCUUCGGGUUGUGAACCUCUUUCGCCAGUGAAGCAGGCCUGCCUCGUUUGUGGGUGGGUUGACGGUAGCUGGAUAAGAAGCGCCGGCUAACUACGUG